GCGCGACUAGCUCAGUUGGUAGAGCACCUGACUCUUAAUCAGGGUGUCCAGGGUUCGAGCCCCUGGUCGCGCA
rnacentral:tRNA from 1 species